rnacentral:ncRNA from 1 species
AAGACCCCUUGAAGACUACAAGGUUGAUAGGCCAGGUGUGUAAGCACAGUAAUGUGUUCAGCUUACUGGUACUAAUCGGUCGUGAGGCUUAGCCAC